UACGAAGGGGGCUAGCGUUGCUCGGAAUUACUGGGCGUAAAGCGCACGUAGGCGGAUUGUUAAGUCGGGGGUGAAAUCCUGGAGCUCAACUCCAGAACUGCCUUCGAUACUGGCGAUCUCGAGUUCGGGAGAGGUGAGUGGAACUGCGAGUGUAGAGGUGAAAUUCGUAGAUAUUCGCAAGAACACCAGUGGCGAAGGCGGCUCACUGGCCCGAUACUGACGCUGAGGAGCGAAAGCGAGGGGAGCAAACGGG
rnacentral:rRNA from 1 species